CCCGCAAACGAGCGCAACCCUUGUCAUUAGUUGCCAUCAUUUAGUGGGCACUCUAAAUGAGACUGCCGGUGACAAGCCAGAGGAAGGUGGGGAUGACGUCAAGUCCUCAUGGCCCUUAUGACCAGGGCUUCACACGUCAUACAAUGGUCGGUACAGAGGGUAGCCAAGCCGCGAGGUGGAGCCAAUCUCACAAAACCGAUCGUAGUCCGGAUUGCACUCUGCAACUCGAGUGCAUGAAGUCGGAAUCGCUAGUAAUCGCAGGUCAGCAUACUGCGGUGAAUACGUUCCCGGGUCUUGUACACACCGCCCGUCACACCAUGGGAGUGGGGGAUACCAGAAGUAGGUAGGGUAACCGCAAGGAGCCCGCUUACCACGGUAUGCUUCAUGACUGGGGUGAAGUCGUAACAAGGUAACCA
rnacentral:rRNA from 1 species